rnacentral:misc_RNA from 1 species
GAUGAAGAACGCAGCGAAAUGCGAUAAGUAAUGUGAAUUGCAGAAUUCCGUGAAUCAUCGAGUCUUUGAACGCACAUUGCGCCCCCUGGUAUUCCGGGGGGCAUGCCUGUCCGAGCGUCAUUGCUGCCCUCAAGCACGGCUUGUGUGUUGGGCUCCGUCCCCCCGGGGACGGGCCCGAAAGGCAGCGGCGGCACCGAGUCCGGUCCUCGAGCGUAUGGGGCUUUGUCACCCGCUCUGUAGGCCCGGCCGGCGCCAGCCGACAACCCAUCAUCCUUUUCAGGUUGACCUCGGAUCAGGUAGGGAUACCCGCUGAACUUAAGCAUAUCAAUAAGCGGAGGA